rnacentral:rRNA from 1 species
AGAGUUUGAUCAUGGCUCAGGAUGAACGCUAGCGGCAGGCUUAACACAUGCAAGUCGAGGGGCAGCACGGGUAGCAAUACCUGGUGGCGACCGGCGGAAGGGUGCGUAACGCGUGAGCAACAUGCCCUAUACAGGGGAAUAAACCAGGGAAACUUGGUCUAAUGCCCCAUAGCAAUAAGAUAAGGCAUCUUAUUUUAUUUAAAGCUUCGGUGGUAUAGGAUUGGCUCGCGUGACAUUAGCUGGAUGGUGGGGUAACGGCCCACCAUGGCGAUGAUGUCUAGGGGUUCUGAGAGGAAGACCCCCCACACUGGGACUGAGACACGGCCCAGACUCCUACGGGAGGCAGCAGUGAGGAAUAUUGGACAAUGGAUGGAAAUCUGAUCCAGCCAUGCCGCGUGCAGGAAGACGGCCCUAUGGGUUGUAAACUGCUUUUCUACGGGAGCAAUAAGGUCUACGCGUAGACUGAUGAGAGUACCGUAGGAAUAAGCAUCGGCUAACUCCGUGCCAGCAGCCGCGGUAAUACGGAGGAUGCGAGCGUUAUCCGGAUUUAUUGGGUUUAAAGGGUGCGUAGGCGGCUUUUUAAGUCAGCGGUGAAAUUUUGCAGCUUAACUGUAACAGUGCCGUUGAUACUGGGGAGCUAGGAUUUGGUUGCUGUGGGUGGAAUGUGUGGUGUAGCGGUGAAAUGCUUAGAGAUCACACAGAAUAUCGAUUGCGAAGGCAGCUCACAAAGCCAAGAUUGACGCUGAGGCACGAAAGUGUGGGGAUCAAACAGGAUUAGAUACCCUGGUAGUCCACACUGUAAACGAUGAUAACUCGCUGUCG